AGCGAACGCUGGCGGCAGGCCUAACACAUGCAAGUCGAGCGCCCCGCAAGGGGAGCGGCAGACGGGUGAGUAACGCGUGGGAACGUACCCUUUGCUACGGAAUAGCUCCGGGAAACUGGAAUUAAUACCGUAUGUGCCCUACGGGGGAAAGAUUUAUCGGCAAAGGAUCGGCCCGCGUUGGAUUAGCUAGUUGGUGGGGUAAUGGCCUACCAAGGCGACGAUCCAUAGCUGGUCUGAGAGGAUGAUCAGCCACAUUGGGACUGAGACACGGCCCAAACUCCUACGGGAGGCAGCAGUGGGGAAUAUUGGACAAUGGGCGCAAGCCUGAUCCAGCCAUGCCGCGUGAGUGAUGAAGGCCUUAGGGUUGUAAAGCUCUUUCACCGGAGAAGAUAAUGACGGUAUCCGGAGAAGAAGCCCCGGCUAACUUCGUGCCAGCAGCCGCGGUAACAC
rnacentral:rRNA from 1 species